AAUAAAAGCAUUAAAAACAUGAAAUGCGUUAUAACAGAAUUACACAGAGUUGUUAAAAAUCGGAUAUUCUAUAAACCUCGUCCCUGCUAUCAUAGAGAGAUUAUUUGACUGCGCUUUGAAUUAUUUAUUAGCUGCUUUUCUCUUCUGAUAGUUUUGAAUUGUCCCGGGGUCUAUUGGGAAUAGGAAAGCGCUCACAUAAGAUCAUGAAAAUACGCCUUGCUAUUCCUGGAGAAUCUAAAGAUAGAACAAAUUUACAAACACUGCAGUUAAUAACAUUAGUAGCAUAGGAGUUUAUAUAUCGGAGUUUCUGUGAAUACAAAGAAUGAUGGAAAUUAUCAAAAAAAUAUAAAUUUAUUUUUUAAAUUGUUUAAGGUUAUUACUAAAUGUUGCAUAAUUUCAUUUAUUGUCACGGAGUGCAGAAAUUGUCUUUUGCAGAUUGGUUUUGUCAAUUUUAUGAUAAAUGGAUAAGAGUUUAUUUCUAAUAAGGCCGAAAAUGGAAAUGUUGGUUCGAAUAUUGGAUUAUUUUGCAAUCAAUUUUGGUAUGAUAUCUAAAUAAAAGGUAUUUUAAUCAAUUGGAAACUAAUUUUAUAAUAUGUCAGGCGUGACAUAAAUUGUGAAUCCUGGGAUAUGUUAGUGAUCACCUACAAUAAUAGUUACGAUGACGUCAACAGUGAAGAUGAAUUUGAUAAAAUUGAAAUACUGUCUUCUGAAAUCGAAACUGCGGAUGAAUUUUUCCUUGCACCAAUAUCUUGUUUAACAGAAAAUGAAGUAGACUUAUUGGAUAACAAGGAAAAAGAAAGAAAACGAAUAGCACGUGCGGUGGCCCUUAUUUCCGGAAUAUUAUUUUUAAUCAGUGUUACUUUGGUUACAGUUUCGCUUUAUAUGGCGAAGGACAUUGAUGAAAUGGUUCGAAACUCCAACGAAAUGCUUCGGAAACACAACGAUAGAAUAUCUGGUAUGCAUAGUGCUGGAAAUCCAAGUGGCAAUUAUACAGGUCUAUAGCAGCAAUUUAUCUAGAAGAUCGAUAUGUCAAUUUUGUCUAAAAUGGAGUACCUUCAAGGAACAAAAGCAACAAACAGUUUGAAGUCAAACUGUUAUGGAGAAUAUGUUAGUCAGUUAUGUGAUAUGUGUGAACAGUUAAAAGCUGUUUGAUUGAUACCUCUGUCAAUCAAAAUGCCAAUCAACGAAAUAUCCGGCAAUUUCUAAAAAAAAAAACAAAAACAAGAUAGUUCGGCCAAAGUUAUUUAUUAUCAUAUAAGUUGGACUCUCAUGACAAUGUUAACGAAAUAGCUAAAACUGAUCAUAUGAAUAUUUCAAUUGUUGUGGAUAUGAACUUUUUCUUUUGAAGAAAAAAAACGUAAAACGACGUUUAGUUUUCAUUAGCACAGCUAUGCAUUUUCAUUCUGUUUGAUUGGUUAUAAGGAUUCAUAUCAAUGUAAAAUAUGUAGUUUACCAGUCAUACACAUCUAAAUAUCUAUAGGAAAUCUUUCGAUAUUGGCAACAUGUAUUAUCAACAAUUCAAUAUGUCUUUCAUCUCUUGAUAAAGAUCAGCAAGUGUUCUAGUAUAAAUUGAAUGACAAAAACAAUUAUUUCUCACAAAUAUUUUAUAUAUACAUAAUUGGAUAAUCCAGCUAGAUUAAGGAAUAUUGACGGUUCUACUAAGUUACCCAUUUGUGACUGAAAAAAUGCACAGCCGGACACCUGAGGUCUACAUCUACAAGUAAAGCUCGAGAGCUAGGACCUACAAUGUGUUGGUGGAACGUGAAACCAAACGCCAACAAUAACAACAACAUGAUUGGAUUGAGGAACCUGUCAUUAUCUUUUUUCCUGCAAAAUCAAAUACAUAUCGAAAUAGAAAAGAAAAAUGUAAAAGUUAAAAAUUAAUCGUUAACACAUUGCUUGACAGGUAUUGUGUCUGUAAAUUUACUUGUUUUGUUUAAUUUUGUUUUAAAUUGAAUGAACGGAAACGCUUGAUUUUGCAGAUUGUAAAUAGCUUUUGUAAAGAUUGUAUGUGAUAAUCUCUUUUUAAAACAUUCCAGUAGAAAGGUAUCUAGUUUUUGUCUAUGCAUAUGUUUGAUAAGUAAACAAACCCAAAUUAUGACACAACUGUUCUGCGCUAUGAAUGUUCUAUCUUUAUUAUAACAGUCACAGUUGUAUCUGUUUGAUUUAUUUGUAUGGGUUAGACCUAAAUUAUUCAAGAUUUAAACAUUACACUAACAUU